CUCUUUAGGGCUCAACGCGGAGGCGUGUGAUAAUUUUCACUGCUCCUAAUCUGGGUCCUUUUCAUGCCGAUCACAGUAGAACCGAAGCUAAGACGGCUGAUGGAGAGCUCUGAGGUUAGAUGCAGAGGACAGCUGCAGAGCAAUCUGUCUCCACUGAAGAAACACUAACAAGUGCUGGAGGGAUGUGGGGACACGCCUGAGAGGAGAUGCCUGAGUGAGUGGAAGGAAGGAUGCACGGGAGUACCGAGGGCAGAGAAGAAGGCCGGUUUCGUCAUGAACACAUGCUUUUUUCCCAUUAUAAACCGGCAGCAGGAGGCAGUCAGAAGAACUCAACACGGCAGAAGUGGUAGAAACGGACAUGGGCCCUAGAGGGAAGCACCGUGCUUGUAACCCAUUUGAGCCCAGGGAAAAGACUGUAAUU